rnacentral:rRNA from 1 species
GAUGAACGCUGGCGGCGUGCCUAAUACAUGCAAGUCGAGCGAACAGAUGAGGAGCUUGCUCCUCUGACGUUAGCGGCGGACGGGUGAGUAACACGUGGAUAACCUACCUAUAAGACUGGGAUAACUUCGGGAAACCGGAGCUAAUACCGGAUAAUAUAUUGAACCGCAUGGUUCAAUAGUGAAAGACGGUUUUGCUGUCACUUAUAGAUGGAUCCGCGCCGCAUUAGCUAGUUGGUAAGGUAACGGCUUACCAAGGCAACGAUGCGUAGCCGACCUGAGAGGGUGGUCGGCGACACUGGAGCUGAGACACGGACAAGACUACUAAGGGAGGCAGCAGUAGGGAAUCUUCCGCAAUAGGCGGAAGCCUGACGGAGCAACGCCGAGUGAGUGAUGAAGGUCUUCGGAUCGUAAAACUCUGUUAUUAGGGAAGAACAAAUGUGUCAGUAAAUAUGCACGUCUUGACGGUAACUAAUAAGAAAGCAACGGCUAACUACGUG